rnacentral:lncRNA from 1 species
ACCCUAUCUGUAUGGGUGUCAAAAUGAGGAUGUUUGCCAGAGACCUAUUGAGUUGGCUGUGUAUUCACGAUCUCUAUGCAGUUCCUAGGGGUUGAUGUGGCUCUGUUCCCCUAUCAACUGAAAAGCAGCUAUCUGACAUUUCUAUCCCAAUCAUGUGAGGUAACGUUUUCCUUCAUUCCCAAAAUAAAGUUUGAGCAUCCUUUAUCCAGAAUUCUAAAAUCUGAAAUACUUUAAAAUCCAAAAUCGCCCAUUUGCUUUCUGAUGGUUCAAUGUACACACCUUUUGUUUCAUGCACAAAAAUAUUAAAUAUAUUGCAUGUAAAAUUGCUUUCAGGCUAAGUAUGUAAGGCGUACAUGAGAAAACAUGAACUUCAUGUUUAGACUUAGGUCCCAUUCCCAAGAUAUGUCACUGCGUACAGGUAUUCCAAAAUCUACAAAAAUCCAAAAUCUAAAAUAUUUCUGGCCCUGAGCAUAUCAGAUAAGGGAUAUUCCAUCUGUAUCUAGCAUUUCAAAGAGUGAAAUACUAAAAAUCAGUAACACCUGGAGCUCUUGUAUAUAUCAUGUUCAUACUCCCAUAGUAACUUUGCUUCUCUGUUUCUUUGGAUGCCUAAACUGUGUUUCUAAAGGUGCAACUGAGGUUUAGGUUGCUGCAAUGCUCGUUUAUUUUCAAAGAAACUGCGUCACAUUUUUUAAACAAAAAAAAAAAACCCUUUCCCACCCCACCCUAAAAUAAAUGCCUUCUUUUCUUUGUAAAGAGUCGAUUACUUCUUUUUCUCAAUGGCUACCAGUGCCUGCCUUCCUCUUGCAGCAACCCUUAGGUCCCCCUGCAACAACAUGCCAGGCAGCAAGACCAACCAACCACCCUCCUCCCACUUUCAGGCCAGAAUGAGGCUCGAGGCAUGCGGGAGGGGCUUUUAAGGAGGACAGCCUAGACCAUUCCCCUUACAUGAACAUCCACACUGAUUGGCAAAGGAGGCAAGCCCAGGCUAGGCUGCUCCUCUGCAAACAAAGUUUGGUGGCUUUAAAAAUGCUUUGUCAUAUAUCCGAUGAACUUACGAGCCCAUUAAAUCAAUGGUCUCAAACGUUUCGAAACUGAAAGUGUAUUCCGAAGUGCCAAACCGCAUCAGAACUCAAUUUGGAACCCUUAAUAGAUCUGAUUUUAAUCCGAUUUAUGAUUAUUGCGAGGAAUUUGCACAUCCUUAGUAGAUAGUAGUGGGCUAAGGAGCCUCAGGAAAAGUGCUAUUAUUGUGGAACAAAAAUUGAAAAUGGGCAAAAUAAAAAAUAUUGGGAGCAAGGAUUUGUUUUUAUUUUGUGCAGCAAUAGCAAAUGUGAGUGAGUUCAAGACGAAAGUAGGAAUAUGUUCAGAUGGCUGAGUUUCUGGAUCAGAUUUCUUCUCAGCCUUUUUAGCUUAUUGUGAAAGGUUUUCACUCACUCUGCCAGCAAAGGUUCUCUCCUGGUUGGUUUCACCAACUGUCAUGGUCUGGCCUUGUCAACAUGUCAGAGAUAAUGCAAUGUAGAAUCUUCAUUGGCCAGGAUUUGGUUGCACCCAUUUUUAAAAAAAUAUUUUUUAGUUCCAAGAAACUGCUUUCAAAGGGGGAAUAUUAAUCCAAAAUUGGAGAAACUGGGUCCAAAAAGGCAGAAAAUAUCAACUUUAAACUGAGGAGUCUAAAUUAAUAUGACAGAAUAAACAAGGAAUUUGAAAUAAAAAUUUCAUAUAUAUUCCUGCAUUACUUAUUACAUCAAGUACAUUCAUAAACAAUUAUGUUAUUUUAGAAUAAAACACUGAACAAUGGACACAUAUUUAAAGUGCAGUUGCAAUUCAAAGUGCUUCACUUUCCUAAAGUAAACAUGGCAGCAUUCCUAGAGUAACUGUUACAAAUUCGAGAGGUUUGCAUUAAAAGUGAAUUGUCACAGAAGAUUCCUGUUAAGCAAGAUGUUACCAGGGAAGUUUAGCAAUGCCGUAAAUCACAGUAUUCUACACAGAGUGUUGUUGGAGUUUGCAACCUUUCCAUUCCCACAAUAAUAGUGUUUAGAUUUCAGAGCUACGCUGAAGGAUGUUUAGAUUGCAUGCCGCUUACCAUGCCUACACUCAGUGGUAUUUUUAGAUUGCACGUCAUUUUUAGUUGCUUGUUUAUGGUAACUCCCUGUUUGUUUCUGUGUAUGUUUGUUCACACCACUCUCUUCCUACAUCAUGUAGCUUUUCUUUGAUUUCGGAUCCCAUCCACUCUCAUACCUCUUUAUGCCUGUCCUUCAUGAAGCAUGGAUGAUAAAAGCUCUCUCUGCUUGAGAUGUUCCAGCUUUCCUGAUACUAUUCAUUCCUUUUUGGUGGUCAAACCAGGAACAAGCCAUGAGAGAAAAGACAUAGAUUCACCCAGAGAAAUAAUUGUUCUUUCCAUACAUCAAGGGAACCACUGAUCUCAUAGGGAAGCUGAUGAAGAAACACAACCUACAAACCAUAUACAGACCCACU